UGGGGAAUUUUGCACAAUGGGGGAAACCCUGAUGCAGCGACGCCGCGUGAUUUAGAAGGCCUUCGGGUUGUAAAAAUCUUUUCUAUGGGAAGAAAAUGACAGUACCAUAGGAAUAAGGACCGGCUAAUUACGUGCCAGCAGCCGCGGUAAUACGUAAGGUCCGAGCGUUGUACGGAAUCAUUGGGCGUAAAGGGUACGUAGGCGGGUAAGCAAGUUAGAAGUGAAAUCCUAUAGCUCAACUAUAGUAAGCUUUUAAAACUGCUCAUCUUGAGGUAUGGAAGGGAAAGUGGAAUUCCUAGUGUAGCGGUGAAAUGCGCAGAUAUUAGGAGGAAUACAGGUGGCGAAGGAGACUUUCUGGCCAUAACCUGACGCUGAGGUACGAAAGCGUGGGUAGCAAACAGG
rnacentral:rRNA from 1 species